ensembl:lncRNA
AAGUAAAGAAGAUAAGCACUUUAGAGAUAGAAAAGGUCACGGUGAGCAGUUGAUUUGAAAAGUUGCUACGAUCUCACAAAGGCCAAUGACAUCAUCAGGUAGUGAAGUGUGGGGCAGAGAGAGACGCAGAGAAAAGAAGGCUGCUUACCCAAGACCAUAAUUACAUUUGCUCUAAACACAGCCAAAAGCUCCACAGCUUGCGCUGAAUAAUUUUCAACCAUUUCAGAGCCUCCAUUCAUCCCCCUCCUUCAUUGCAAGAGAAUAUAAAGGCUUUGCAGUGCAUGUAGGGAAGACAUAGCGCCUAGCCAGCAUGAAUGGAAUGCUAUUAAUCAUGUUUCCAGUGCUGAACGUCGCUGUAAAGAGGAGGU